GGAAUAAAAGUCGUAACAAGGUUUCCGUAGGUGAACCUGCGGAAGGAUCAUUGUUGUAUAACCGAGGUGCGAGGGCUGUCGCUGACCCGAAAGGUCGUGCACGCCCGAGUGCCCUCACACACAUCCAUCUCACCCCUAUGUGCACCACCGCGUGGGUCCCCCUUUGGCUUGUUCGGAGGGGGGCUUACGUUUUCACACAAACUUUGUAUGCAGUGUAGAAUGUAUUUUUUGUUUUUGCGAUCACGCAAUCAAUACAACUUUCAACAACGGAUCUCUUGGCUCUC
rnacentral:misc_RNA from 1 species